GAGUUUGAUCCUGGCUCAGGACGAACGCUGGCGGCGCGCCUAACACAUGCAAGUCGAACGAGCGAGAGAGAGCUUGCUUUCUCGAGCGAGUGGCGAACGGGUGAGUAACGCGUGAGGAACCUGCCUCAAAGAGGGAGAUAACAGUUGGAAACGACUGCUAAUACCGCAUAAGCCCACAGCUCGGCAUCGAGCAGAGGGAAGAGGAGCAAUCCGCUUUGAGAUGGCCUCGCGUCCGAUUAGCUAGUUGGUGAGGUAAUGGCCCACCAAGGCAACGAUCGGUAGCCGGACUGAGAGGUUGAACGGCCACAUUGGGACUGAGACACGGCCCAGACUCCUACGGGAGGCAGCAGUGGGGAAUAUUGCACAAUGGGGGAAACCCUGAUGCAGCGACGCCGCGUGGAGGAAGAAGGUCUUCGGAUUGUAAACUCCUGUUGUUGAGGAAGAUAAUGACGGUACUCAACAAGGAAGUGACGGCUAACUACGUGCCAGCAGCCGCGGUAAAACGUAGGUCACAAGCGUUGUCCGGAAUUACUGGGUGUAAAGGGAGCGCAGGCGGGAAGACAAGUUGGAAGUGAAAUCUAUGGGCUCAACCCAUAAACUGCUUUCAAAACUGUUUUUCUUGAGUAGUGCAGAGGUAGGCGGAAUUCCCGGUGUAGCGGUGGAAUGCGUAGAUAUCGGGAGGAACACCAGUGGCGAAGGCGGCCUACUGGGCACCAACUGACGCUGAGGCUCGAAAGUGUGGGUAGCAAACAGGAUUAGAUACCCUGGUAGUCCACACCGUAAACGAUGAUUACUAGGUGUUGGAGGAUUGACCCCUUCAGUGCCGCAGUUAACACAAUAGGUAAUCCACCUGGGGAGUACGACCGCAAGGUUGAAACUCAAAGGAAUUGACGGGGGCCCGCACAAGCAGUGGAGUAUGUGGUUUAAUUCGACGCAACGCGAAGAACCUUACCAAGUCUUGACAUCCCUUGACGAUACUGGAAACAGUAUUUCUCUUCGGAGCAAGGAGACAGGUGGUGCAUGGUUGUCGUCAGCUCGUGUCGUGAGAUGUUGGGUUAAGUCCCGCAACGAGCGCAACCCUUACUGUCAGUUACUACGCAAGAGGACUCUGGCAGGACUGCCGUUGACAAAACGGAGGAAGGUGGGGAUGACGUCAAAUCAUCAUGCCCUUUAUGACUUGGGCUACACACGUACUACAAUGGCGUUAAACAAAGAGAAGCAAGACCGCGAGGUGGAGCAAAACUCAGAAACAACGUCCCAGUUCGGACUGCAGGCUGCAACUCGCCUGCACGAAGUCGGAAUUGCUAGUAGUCGUGGAUCAGCAUGCCACGGUGAAUACGUUCCCGGGCCUUGUACACACCGCCCGUC
rnacentral:rRNA from 1 species